UAUCCUCAGAUGUCAGCGACAUAUGAGCAGUACCUGGCUGCACUUCUGGGAGAGAAGAUCAAUGGUCCAAGAUGCUAGAGACGAAGCUUUCCAAAUUCGAACCAAUUGCGACCGAUCCAGCAAAGUUUCCACCAUUACCUCCUGUAAGAUAUCCACCUGCCUCUCGUGCCCGCUUGUUCUUCAAUUUCAUAUAGUCUUCAAUGACGUGAUUCUCCUUUUUGCAAUAGCGAGAAAAAAACUUAUCUCCCUUACCACGUUUCUGCAUAGCGGCAAGGGCAACCGAAUCCACAGAUCGGGAAGCGCUGGAACCUUUCAUCUGUCGUUCAAGUUGGACGGCAUACUUGAAUGCGGUAUUGAUGUCAGGAAUAGGAUCCAUGAGCAACAGCUGCGAUCUGACAACAUCGAAGAAGUUGUUGAGGCCUGUAAUGAAUCUAAUGACGUAGUCCUGAUCCUGAUACAUUAGCAUCUGGCUGACCACGACGGACGUCCCGAUGCGAUUCACAGCACAUUAACAAUUAGGAAUCGGGCGAUACUGAAGAUACUCCUCCCAUAGAACUUUGAGGUUGGUAAAGUAUUGAGUGACUGAGAUGUCACCUUCAUCACAAGAAGCAAUCCGACUCUGGCGGUCGGCAAUGCGAAUUGCAUCUCCUUGGCUGAAGCGCAUACUUGAGCAGCGUCGUCGUAAGCGAGCAGAUUUUGAGUGAUGUAACUUUUCGAUCUAGCUUGAAAAUAUAUAAAAUUUCAUUUAAUUUUUCCAACCAAACUAAACCAUGUCAAUGCCAUAUGGAUGAUAUCAUGCUAGCUUUUCGAUAAGAUCAUCCAAUAACAUAACCCAAAAAAAAUGUAUGUAGAGAAACCA
rnacentral:lncRNA from 1 species